rnacentral:rRNA from 1 species
UACAGAGGUCCCAAGCGUUGUUCGGAUUCAUUGGGCGUAAAGGGUGCGUAGGUGGCGCGCUAAGUCAGGUGUGAAAUUUCGGAGCUUAACUCCGAAACUGCAUUCGAUACUGGUGUGCUUGAGGACUGGAGAGGAGACUGGAAUUCAUGGUGUAGCAGUGAAAUGCGUAGAGAUCAUGAGGAAGACCAGUGGCGAAGGCGGGUCUCUGGACAGUUCCUGACACUGAGGCACGAAGGCCAGGGGAGCGAACAGG